AUGGCUGGGAACAUGAGCAACAAGCAGGGCUCCGCUGUGUCCGCAGUCAACGUUGCGCAUAUUCCUGGCUUGAACACUUUGGGCAUCUCUCUCGCUCGUGUCGAUUAUGCACCCUAUGGUCAAAACCCACCCCACAUCCACCCCCGCGCAUCCGAGAUCUUGACAGUGUUGGAAGGCUCAGUCUAUGUUGGUUUCAUGACCUCAAACCCCGAGAACAAGUUGUUCUCGAAAGUUCUAAACAAAGGAGACAUGUUUGUGUUUCCGCAAGGGCUGAUUCACUUUCAGUUCAACACUAAAAACAAAGUAGCAAUAGCCAUUGCGGCACUCAGCAGCAAGAACCCUGGAGUGAUCACCAUAGCCAAUGCGGUGUUUGGAUCAAUGCCAUCCAUCUCAGAUGACAUCCUUGCGAAAGCCUUCUAG
rnacentral:rRNA from 1 species